CUCACAUCGAAGUAACAGAUUAAUUCUGAGAUUUUGAUUGAGCGGUAGGGAUUAAAACAAAAGAGUUUGAUCCUGGCUCAGAUUGAACGCUGGCGGCAUGCUUUACACAUGCAAGUCGAACGGGGUUGGGAGCUUGCUUCCAAUCUAGUGGCGAACGGGUGAGUAAUACAUCGGAACGUACCGUGUAGUGGGGGAUAACGUAGCGAAAGUUACGCUAAUACCGCAUACGAUCCACGGAUGAAAGCAGGGGACCUUCGGGCCUUGUGCUAUACGAGCGGCCGAUGUCUGAUUAGCUAGUUGGUGAGGUAAAGGCUCACCAAGGCGACGAUCAGUAGCGGGUCUGAGAGGAUGAUCCGCCACACUGGGACUGAGACACGGCCCAGACUCCUACGGGAGGCAGCAGU
rnacentral:rRNA from 1 species